UACGAAGGGGGCGAGCGUUGUUCGGAAUGACUGGGCGUAAAGGGCGCGUAGGCGGUCGGCCGCGUCAGAUGUGAAAGCCCCGGGCUCAACCUGGGAACGGCAUUUGAAACGGGUCGACUCGAGUUCGGGAGAGGAUGGCGGAAUUCCCAGUGUAGAGGUGAAAUUCGUAGAUAUUGGGAAGAACACCGAAGGCGAAGGCAGCCAUCUGGACCGACACUGACGCUGAGGCGCGACAGCGUGGGGAGCAAACAGGAUUAGAUACCCCCGUAGUCC
rnacentral:rRNA from 1 species